rnacentral:misc_RNA from 1 species
CAUUUAAGCUCUUUCCUCUAUCAAUACUUCAGUGGCCUUUCACAUUACAUGUGAGUAGGGCAUUGAAUAGGUGUCUAAUGUUAAAAUUUUGAUGCAUAUACUUUGAUAUAGUUUUAUUUUGAUAUAUAGGUAGAAAAAUUCUACCUCUACAAGCAUACAUGCACCAAAAUUCGCAAAAGACAAACAUUUAACAAACUAAAACCAGUGUUCCAAAAUAUUAGGAAUGAUCUCAAAGCAUUCAAGCCAUUACACUUUAUCAAAUUAAGACAACCAUUUCAAGAAUGCAAAUGUUUGAUCUUCAAUAGACCAUGAAAGAAAGUCACUCUAGAAUCCUUGAGAAAAAUGGAGAAAUUACCAAAAAAAGCCCCUAAACGUCUAAAAAUUUUGCAAUUCUACCCUAAACUAUAAAAAUUACCAAUUAAACUCUAUACCUUUUAUGUUUAUCCAAUUACACCCUACCACCAACAAAGCUGUUGAGGAGCUAGUGGAAACGCCACAUCAGACGUCCUUCAUCCCUUAAUUAACCCACUUAAGCCGUAACUCAGUCUAAAUAAUAGAAAUAAAUAAAAUAAAAUAAAAUGAAAAUAAAUCCAAAGGAAGAGGUGGGAGGGCAGCAAGAGGCAUAGUGGGUGAAGAGCUUAACCAGGCCAACAUAUGCAUUCAAAGAUCAGUCCUCACACAGAAUGUAACUCAAAAUGCUGCCAACAAAUAUGAAAAGCAAACUACUUUUUUUUGUGUAAUUGAGAAUUUGGGCAUAUAAUUAGACUUAAUUAGGGCCUAAAUUGGGUUAAUUGAGGGUGAAACAUGUCUAAUGUGGCAUUUCUAUUAGCUUAUUAAUGGACUUGUUAACGGUAGGGUGUAAUUAGAUAAACAUAAAAAAGUAUAAAGUUUAAUUGGUAAUUUUUUAAGUUUAUGAUAGAAUUGCAAAAAUUUUAAAAGUUAAGUUAUUUUCCCCCCUAAAAUUUUUAGGACUUUCAAGGAAUGAUUCCCACUAAAUAUAUUGUGCUACCAAAAGUUCUUAUGUUUUAACUACAACGAAAUUCUGAUUUACCUUUGCUCUCUUGAAAAAUGAAACAAAAUCAUCAUCUGUGAGAUGCCCAAUACACCACUGAACCCAAAUAACAUCGUAUCUUCCAGCAGCUGGUGUGAAUUCCUGAAGUGGAGUGCAAAAAAAAUUAGUGGCCUUGUGUGUAUCUGAGGCCAUAUGAUUUUCGUAGACCAAACUUUCACGGGCAACAUCUAGGAAAUGUGAGACUGGCUCAAGAAGAUCAACCUCAUUAAAAUAUCGUAAGAGAAGAUUCUUGGUGAUUCUCCCGAUGCCAGAACCACAGUCAAGAGCAACAAGAUGCCGGUCAAUUCCACCGUCGACAAAACAUUCGGAAAACAGGGUCUGAAGAAAAGCUUCACUGCCCUUCACAUCAGCAUCAUUCACGCGCCCAUAUCCACCCAAAACUCCAUCCACCGAUGCCUCCACGCCUUCCCAGUAGGCAACGCCUUCGCGAUACCAUUGGGUCUUCUUGUUAUCGUCACCGGUUUGUUCCCUCCACAUCUCGUCUGCGUUCUUGAACUCGCGGCCAUCGGAAUCGGAGCCAGCGACCUCCAUCUGAGACGCCUUUACUUGAUAGUGGAUGCAGACGCUUGUAGAAAUGACGCGGUAACUAGUAGGAAAGGUUCCAAAUCUGGAGGGAACGACAGGCCGUACGACAUGGGCG